rnacentral:rRNA from 1 species
CACGUAGGGUGCGAGCGUUGUCCGGAAUUAUUGGGCGUAAAGAGCUCGUAGGCGGUGUGUCGCGUCGGCCGUGAAAACCUGCAGCUUAACUGUGGGCUUGCGGUCGAUACGGGCAUCACUGGAGUUCGGCAGGGGAGACUGGAAUUCCUGGUGUGAGCGGUGAAAUGCGCAGAUAGUCAGGAGGAACACCGGUGGCGAAGGCGGGUCUCUGGGC